GCCUUCCUCAUCUACAGUGGGAGGUGGCAGAGCCACAGCGGUGUUGGUCUUCCUCAUCUACAGUGGGAGGUGGCAGAGCCACACCGGUGUUGGCCUUCCUCAUCUACAGUGGGAGGUGGCAGAGCCACAGCGGUGUUGGUCUUCCUCAUCUACAGUGGGAGGUGGCAGAGCCACAGCGGUGUUGGUCUUCCUCAUCUACAGUGGGAGGUGGCAGAGCCACAGCGGCGUUGGCCUUCCUCAUCUACAGUGGGAGGUGGCAGAGCCACACCGGUGUUGGCCUUCCUCAUCUACAGUGGGAGGUGGCAGAGCCACAGCGGUGUUGGUAUUCCUCAUCUAGAGUGGGAGGUGGCUGAGCCACAGCGGUGUUGGUAUUCCUCAUCUAGAGUGGGAGGUGGCUGAGCCACAGCGGUGUUGGUCUUCCUCAUCUACAGUGGGAGGUGGCAGAGCCACACCGGUGUUGGCCUUCCUCAUCUACAGUGGGAGGUGGCAGAGCCACACCGGUGUUGGUAUUCC